CAGAUACUGUUCCCGAACUGCUGCUGACACAGGAGUCUCAAAUUGCCGCCACAGACCACACAUCAGAGCGAGCUCAUGGAGACCUGGUGACAAGGAGAAUAUUGGCCCCAAGUCUUUCCUACAGUGGAGUUCAAUCAAAACUGAGAUCUGUACUGUUGUUACUUUCCCAGUCCCCAAGUAACACAUUGCUAACCAGCAGAAUAAUACUGACUAGCAGACUCUCAUACAGAAUGGCAGGAUGACCAAGUGGGAGCUGCCCCCUUCCAAGUAAAACAGCUCCUCCACCACCACCAAGAAAGUCCAAAGAACCAUCACAACCCUGCAGAAUUACAGAGGAUGCUGAAAACCAGAAGGGACUCAGGGAAGAGCAGGAGAGAUGUUUAAAGACCUGGGAAUAAGCCUUCAAAAGAUAUUACAACUUUCUUGGUGAGUGGACUUCGGAACAGUCAAAUAAAUCUGUUGAUAAUUU
ensembl:lncRNA